GGCAGCGCAGCUCGCCGCCGUGAUCGACGGGAUGCGCGAUCGCGGCCUGAUCGCGGAUGACAGUUGGCUCAGCGAACAGGGUCGCGCCGUCAAACAGCGCGUCGAGUCGCUCACCGACAACCUCGCGGCGAAACCCUAUGAGAGCCUCGAGCCGGGCGAGCUCAAUGAGCUGAUGGACACCCUCCAACCGCUCGCCACACUGCUACUCGCCGCCCAAGACUUCGGGUGAGGUCGCUGGCGGUUCAAUCCGCAAUCGGCCCGUGGUACUCGCCCAUGACGUGGCGGCCGACGACUACCCCGACAACUCACCGGUGUGCGUGUCGACGUCCUAUGUCGAAGCCGACGAUGUCGACCGGGCACUGCAACGACUCACUGUUGCCCCUC
rnacentral:misc_RNA from 1 species